GCCUUCGUGGUGUAGUGGUCAGCACGGUGGAAGCGUAUUCCAGAGGUCCGUGGUUCAAAUCCCGGCGAAGACG
rnacentral:tRNA from 1 species